CCUACGGGUGACAGCAGUGGGGAAUAUUGCACAAUGGGGGAAACCCUGAUGCAGCGACGCCGCGUGAGUGAAGAAGUAAUUCGUUAUGUAAAGCUCUAUCAGCAGGGAAGAAAAUGACGGUACCUGAGUAAGAAGCCCCGGCUAACUACGUUCCAGCAGCCGCGGUAAUACGUAGGGGGCAAGCGUUAUCCGGAUUUACUGGGUGUAAGGGGAGCGUAGACGGCAGAGCAAGUGUGGAGGGAAAGGCGGGGCUCAACCCCCGGACUGCUCUGGAAACUGUACGGCUGGAGUGCAGGAGAGGUAAGUGGAAUUCCUAGUGUAGCGGUGAAAUGCGUAGAUAUUAGGAGGAACACCAGUGGCGAAGGCGGCUUACUGGACUGUAACUGACGUUGAGGCUCGAAAGCGUGGGGAGCAAACAGGAUUAGAUACCCCAGUAGUC
rnacentral:rRNA from 1 species